UCCCUGGUGGUUCAGUGGCUAAGACUCUGUGCUCUCAAUGCAGGAAACCUGGGUUCAAUCCCUGAUCAGGGAA
rnacentral:tRNA from 1 species